UUUAGCCAAGUCACCGCCGCAUGUGCAUAUACCUUUCUAUAACACGGUUCAUGCUGUGCGGCUUCGCUGCUUCACCGAUUUUUUUUCUUGCAGUUUUUUUUUUUUUUUUUCCUGUGCAGUGUGUUCUACAUCCUGAUUGGCGAAGGGACUGGAGACAAAUGUGAACAGUCUCCACGGUUCAUCGUUGUACAGCUUGCCACAUUUUUAAGAAAAUGUAUAUAUUUUAGCUUUUUUUUUUUUUUUAAAACGCUGGGGCCUUAAAAACAAACAAAAAAAAGGGCUUAAUAUUUGGUUUCAUUCAAUUUAAGGCUGCUGUUGUAAACGGAGUUUCAAAAUUAAAUUAC